CUGGACAAACACCACCGCUUUAAGUUCUAG
rnacentral:piRNA from 1 species